GCGUCCCGAGUCAGCAAGUUGCAAAGUGCUAUUCAUUCAUAGCACUUUGCAACUUGCUGACUCGGGACGC